rnacentral:rRNA from 1 species
ACUCAAAUGAAUUGACGGGGACCCGCACAAGCAGUGGAGUAUGUGGUUUAAUUCGAAGCAACGCGAAGAACCUUACCAGGUCUUGACAUCCCCCUGAUCGCGUCAGAGAUGGCGCUUCCCUUCGGGGCAGGGGAGACAGGUGGUGCAUGGUUGUCGUCAGCUCGUGUCGUGAGAUGUUGGGUUAAGUCCCGCAACGAGCGCAACCCUUGAUCUUAGUUGCCAGCAUGUCGUGGUGGGCACUCUAAGGUGACUGCCGGUGACAAACCGGAGGAAGGUGGGGAUGACGUCAAAUCAUCAUGCCCCUUACGACCUGGGCUACACACGUACUACAAUGGUCGGUACAACGGGAAGCGAAACCGCGAGGUGGAGCGAAUCCCAUCAAAGCCGAUCUCAGUUCGGAUUGCAGGCUGCAACUCGCCUGCAUGAAGUCGGAAUUGCUAGUAAUCGCGGAUCAGCAUGCCGCGGUGAAUACGUUCCCGGGUCUUGUACACACCGCCCGU